rnacentral:rRNA from 1 species
GUUGCAGUUAAAAAGCUCGUAGUUGGAUUUCUGGGAGGGUGCCAAUGUCCGCCGUCGCGCGUGCGCAGCGGCGCCCUUCCAUCCUUCUGUUAACGCCUCUCGGCAUUCAUUUGCUGGUGGCGGGCUCAGAUAUUU